rnacentral:rRNA from 1 species
UACGAAGGGGGCUAGCGUUGCUCGGAAUCACUGGGCGUAAAGGGUGCGUAGGCGGGUCUUUAAGUCAGGGGUGAAAUCCUGGAGCUCAACUCCAGAACUGCCUUUGAUACUGAAGAUCUUGAGUUCGGGAGAGGUGAGUGGAACUGCGAGUGUAGAGGUGAAUUCGAUAGAUAUUCGCAAGAACACCAGUGGCGAAGGCGGCUCACUG